rnacentral:rRNA from 1 species
GCUCAGGAUGAACGCUGGCGGCGCGCCUAACACAUGCAAGUCGAACGAGCGAGAGAGAGCCUGCUUUCUCAAGCGAGUGGCGAACGGGUGAGUAACGCGUGAGGAACCUGCCUCAAAGAGGGGGACAACAGUUGGAAACGACUGCUAAUACCGCAUAAGCCCACGGGUCGGCAUCGACCAGAGGGAAAAGGAGCAAUCCGCUUUGAGAUGGCCUCGCGUCCGAUUAGCUAGUUGGUGAGGUAAUGGCCCACCAAGGCAACGAUCGGUAGCCGGACUGAGAGGUUGAACGGCCACAUUGGGACUGAGACACGGCCCAGACUCCUACGGGAGGCAGCAGUA